rnacentral:rRNA from 1 species
UACGAAGGGGGCUAGCGUUGCUCGGAAUCACUGGGCGUAAAGCGCACGUAGGCGGCUUUCUAAGUCAGGGGUGAAAUCCUGGAGCUCAACUCCAGAACUGCCUUUGAUACUGGAGAGCUUGAGUCCGGGAGAGGUGAGUGGAACUCCGAGUGUAGAGGUGAAAUUCGUAGAUAUUCGGAAGAACACCAGUGGCGAAGGCGGACUCACUGGCCCGGUACUGACGCUGAUGUGCGAAAGCGUGGGGAG